rnacentral:rRNA from 1 species
UACGUAGGUGACGAGCGUUAUCCGGAUUUAUUGGGCGUAAAGCGCACGCAGGCGGCUUGACAAGUCUGACGUGAAAUCUCCCGGCUUAACUGGGAGCGGUCGUUGGAAACUGUCGAGCUUGAGGCGAUGAGAGGGGUGUGGAAUUCCCGGUGUAGUGGUGGAAUGCGUAGAUAUCGGGGGGAACAUCAGUGGCGAAAGCGGCACCCUGGCAUUAGCCUGACGCUCAUGUGCGAAAGCGUGGGGAGCGAACGGG